CAGCAGCCACGGUAAUACGUAGGGUGCAAGCGUUAAUCGGAAUUACUGGGCGUAAAGCGUGCGCAGGCGGUUAUAUAAGUCAGAUGUGAAAUCCCCGGGCUCAACCUGGGAACUGCAUUUGAGACUGUAUGGCUAGAGUGUGUCAGAGGGGGGUAGAAUUCCACGUGUAGCAGUGGAAUGCGUAGAUAUGUGGAGGAAUACCGAUGGCGAAGGCAGCCCCCUGGGAUAACACUGACGCUCAUGCACGAAAGCGUGGGGAGCAAACAGGAUUAGAGACCCCCGUAGUCCCUGUCUCUUAUAA
rnacentral:rRNA from 1 species